rnacentral:lncRNA from 10 species
AGUAAUAAGAAUGUUUUCUACCUUUUCAUUUUACCUCCACUAUAGCUCCCAAGAGAUGUUACAUGGACAAGAAGGGCACAAAGAAGUUUAUACUUCCUGCUCUAGAUUAAUUGUAUCCCGAUACAACACAGGAAGGACAUGGGCUUGAAAUGAACAGACUUGGGCCCAGAUUCUAGCUCCAUCAUUUGCUUCUUUAUCCAGAGCCUCCAAUUCAUUUGCCUUCCAGAGUUUCUGCAGUGAUCAGCAAAACCAUCUGACACAGGGGACCACACAGCGGGAACUCAAUAAAUGCUAAUUCCUUCUCUCAUCCUGUUGCAGAGUCAGCCCAAACCUCUCUCCAAUAUCUUCUACAGGGAAAAGAUCUCUUGGGCUCACCCAGGCUGGGCUGUGGUGUGCAAUUCUUCAUUAAGAGAUAUGAAGAGCCCAGAAAUGGAAAAGCUGGAAUAAAGGAAUGCAGAGUGGGGCUGCCUGUUUUGUUCCUUUUGCAAACACACACAAACAUGAUGAUGGGGAGCAGCACCAGGGACAUGUCAAAGAUGACAGCAGCACUGGUCAGGUGCAAAUUGCCCUUCGAAAAAUGCCUAAGGCAGCACAGCUUUUGGCAGUCUUUUUUUUUUUUCUUUUCUAAUCAAGGCAAAGAUUUCUCUAAAAAAGCACAUAGUAAAGGAAGCCAAAGGAAUGUUAGUGCCUGUCUCUAGAAGCCACAUUUAUCUAUUUUUAGUCCCCAGCAAAGCCCAGUACACUGUAAUCAGUAUAAUAACAUGCUGUCUUUCAUAAAGACAGAUGACACAGUUGACCUUCAGUCCCCAUCUGGACACAGGACGUGUGCUGUGGGUUGUUUUGUCAGCUGUGGGCUUGGAUUAUUUGUCUGUACCCUCUCAUCUAGUUUGGAUCAGAACCAGGCAUUUUCAGGAAGACUAGAAAAUAUGAGUGUGGGGUCAACUGGACCUCUGAAAAAAGAAUUGGUAGAUGUGAAGUCUGAAGGCAUCAUGGGUGGAAUUAGUAUGGAAUUUUGCUCAAGUUACUUACUUCUGUAAAGACCUACUGGCCCCUUAUACUUUGUGGAAUAAAAUCUUCACCUUGAUCUUUUUCACCCAAGUUGGUAACUCAAUGCAGUCUUCCUGCUGGACCACUUCCUCAAUCUUGGGACAUCAAAUAUAUACUCUCAACCUCCUUGAACACAAUAAAACUUAACUUUCUCCAGGUAGGAAGCCAUGAACACUGCAUAUUGCACAUGGGACCAAAAGUUUCUGAUCCUGCAGGCUUUUGUCAUCAGUUGGAAUAUGUCACUUUCAACAUUCUGAUUUUCUGCUGAUUGGUUGGUUUGUUUUGGAAUUGGCUUUUGAAUUAGUUAGAGGAAAGGUUAAGCCACGGUAAUAAAAAGACUCCCAAGAAGCUUUGGCUUUAAAAAGCUUAUAUUUUCUCUCUGAUGUAACAGUCCUGAGUGGGUGAGCAGCUUUGCUUCACGUGGUCAUCCCAGAACCUCAGUUCCCUCCACCUUACUGCUCCACAGUCCUCGGCUGUAUGGUCAAAGCCAAGUCACAGGCACAUCUA